CAAUAGCGUAUACUAAAGUUGUUGCAGUUAAAAAGCUCGUAGUCGAAUGAAGGUUCUUUGGAUUGCGCGGACUCCUAAGUGUAUCUUAGGAAGGUCUGUGCCCAAUAACCUCGCUAUUGUAACCUAAGGAAACAAAUUUUUUAUAAUUUGCAAAAGAAUUAGGUGACAAACAUUACUGUGAAUAAAAUAGAGUGUUCAUGGCAGGCCAGUUAGGCUUGGAUACCUCAGCAUGGAAUAAUAGAAUAGGACUUCUGGUUCUAUUUUGUUGGUUUUUGGAGCCGAAGUAAUGAUUAAUAGGGAUAGUUGGGGGCACUCGUACUCCGUUGUCAGAGGUGAAAUUCUAGGAUUGACGGAAGACGAACAACUGCGAAAGCAUCUGCCAAGGAUGUUUNCAUUGA
rnacentral:rRNA from 1 species